UCUACUUCCUGCUUCUGUGAGCAUCACCAUGUCAACGCCUGUUUACUACUGGGCAGGGGCAGUCUCUUUAUGUAACUGCACCGAAUGCAGUUACAGUAAUGGUGGACAAAUACCUCAGCCGCCUCAGGAGAGGUUGAGAUCUCAGCCUGGGGGCCUCUUCUGAGGUCAGAGACCCCAGCGCCUACUGAGCGGGUGGUGCUCUUCCCAUCUCGGAGAGACCGAGGAGGAGCCUGAGACUGUUCCUGGACAUCCUGUGAACAUCAGAAAAUAUUUUGUGGAGGCAUUAAAAGAAGGGGAUAUGGUGUUCACAUUUGCUUCCAUGGAUUCCAACCAAUCUUCCUUGGAAACAAACACAUCUUGACAAGUGAUCUUUCCUAAGCAAGGACAAAGGUAUUAAAAAGGAUUCCAUCCUCCUCCUCCGUCCUUGUGCCCAAACUCUACUGGUUUCUCAUUCCGUGAGGAUGAUUUGGUGGAAGAAGAUACAGUGGCAGCAGCGUUUCCUGUGGGCCCUGGGCUGCUAUAUGCUGCUGGCCAUUGUUGCUCUGAGGCUUUGUCUCAGAUUGAAAUGUGACUUUGAUUCCCUGGAUCUGAAGUCCAGAGAUUUUCAGAGCCGGCACUGUAGAGACAUCUUGUACAAGUCCCUGAAACUGCCAGCAAAGAGAUCCAUCAACUGUUCUCGGAUCAUCCAAGGGGACCAGCAGGCAGUGAUUGAGGCUGUGCUGGACAACCUGGAGAUCAAGAACAAGCGGAAGCCUUUCACAGACACUGACUACCUUAACAUGACCAGAGACUGUGAGCACUUUAAGGCUGAAAGGAAGUUCAUACGGUUCCCUCUGAGCCAAGAAGAGUCAGACUUCCCUAUUGCCUACUCAAUGGUGGUCCAUGAGAAAAUAGAAAACUUUGAAAGAUUGCUCCGAGCUGUGUAUGCCCCUCAGAACAUAUACUGCAUCCACGUGGAUGAGAAAUCCCCAGAAACUUUCAAAGAGGCAGUCAAGGCAAUUAUUUCAUGCUUCCCAAAUGUCUUCAUGGCCAGUAAGUUGGUUCGGGUAGUUUAUGCCUCCUGGUCCAGGGUGCAGGCUGACCUGAACUGUAUGGAAGACUUGCUCCAGAGCCCAGUGCCAUGGAAAUACUUACUAAAUACAUGUGGGACAGACUUUCCUAUAAAGACCAAUGCUGAGAUGGUCCUGGCCCUCAAGAUGUUGAAUGGGAAGAACAGUAUGGAGUCAGAAAUACCUUCUGAGUACAAAAAGACUCGCUGGAAAUAUCACUAUGAGACAAAAGACACAUUGUACGUAACCAACAAGAUGAAGGAUCCUCCCCCUGAUAACAUACCUAUGUUCACAGGGAAUGCCUAUAUUGUAGCUUCCCGAGACUUUGUCCGACAUGUCUUAGAGAACCCCAAGUCCCGACAACUGAUUGAAUGGGUAAAAGACACCUAUAGCCCCGAUGAGCAUCUAUGGGCCACGCUUCAGCGUGCACCAUGGAUGCCUGGCUCUAUUCCCUACCACUCCAAGUUUCACGUCUCAGAUAUGGCAGCCAUUGCCAGGCUGGUCAAGUGGCAGGGCCAUGAGGGAAACAUCAGUAUGGGGGCACCUUAUGCACCUUGCUCUGGAAUCCACCAGCGGUCUAUCUGUAUUUACGGGACUGGAGACCUGCAUUGGAUUCUUCAAAACCAUCACCUCUUGGCCAACAAGUUUGACCCAAAGGUGGAUGACAACGUUCUUCAGUGUUUAGAAGAGUACUUACGUCAUAAGGCCAUCUAUGGGACUGAACUCUGAGAUAAACUAUAAGAGGAUUGCUACCUGUGGGGCAAGAACAUGUGGAUACAUACUUCAGAUGGGCUGGGACAAUGUGGGGUGGGAGACCAGGGCUCUGCAAUCUGUGGCAUCCCCAAGUUUAGGGGGCUGCUAUCGGAGUGUGGGUAAGUAGAUCUGCCUUGCAACUUGCUGUCCUGGGUGAACACUCCUGGUGAGCAUUCACCCACCCCACUCCUAAGAGCUCUCCCACUGACUUUGUCACAGAGUCAAAAUAAGAAGCCGUUAUUUGGGAGAGUAAGGGAGGGAAGUGUGGCAGGGGACCCUGGAUUUCAGUUGAGUGCUUGCUGUCUGCUUUUCUACUCUAUGCUGGUUCUAAUAAAUUCUAGGCUUGGUAGUGGGGGCGGGGUGGGACUUUAAUGAAAAGAGGGCCUUUUGUACUAUUAACUUAAAAAUAAAUAGCUCUUUAUUCAAAGCCCUACCUCUACUUUCGUCUAAUAAGCCAGAAAAAAAAGAUACAAGUGUGAGACUUUUUCUCAUAACUAUUUGUGACAUUUACAAUCCCUGGUGGCUGGCAAGAGAAUCUCCAUUGUUCCAAAGUUGAUCAUGGCCGAGUGUGUAAAUAGCAGAUUCAAAAGAAUGUACAGGAACAGAGUGGAUUCUUUGAUUAUUCAAAGCCGUCCUCAUUUUGUUUACAUUGCCAGAUUCAUGACUUCUCUGUAAGGGAAAAAGGGCGAUCUGACCAGUGUGAUCACUCAUAUACUUACGGGACAAUUAAAGCACUAAUUUUGCCAGCUUCACAGCCAAAGCUUAAUGUUCCAUAGCAAAGACAGCAUUUUAGGUAAGGCCCUCACAUAAUUUCUUGGCCAAACUGGAACACAUUUUAGUGGGGGAGGGGUUGAGAGGGGCACCUGCUUGGCUCAGUCAGUUAAGCAUCUGACUCUUGAUCUCAGCUCAGGUCUUGAUCUCAGGGUGGCGAGUUCAAGCCCUGUGUUAGGCUCCACGCUGCAAGUGAAGCCUACUUAAAAAAAAAAUAAUCGUGUUGGGAAACCAAAAUGAACUAGGACUGUCUAGCUAAAUCAGGAAGUCUGGGUAUUCCAAGUUUAGGCCUCUUUAGUCAAAACUUUUAUUUAGGUAUGUGAGUGGAAGGGUCACUAUUUGUGGCUCUGUGGUUUAUACAUUUCCUUAUAGGAAAACAAUUGUGUGUGUAUUCUCCCACACCUGUAGUAAAUGUUACCCAAUGAAAGAUUCCUUUCUGAAGCUCCAGAGAGAGGUGACAGGCAAUUGGAAGGCAACUGGCUAUUAGUCAUAAUCUUCUGUGAUGGGAAAGGGAUAUUAUAUAAAAAGAUAGGCAUGUCUUAUACACAGAGCAACUGGUCUUCUGUGUACAAUAUGCUCUGGAAAAGGGAUUUAGACACCAACUGGUGUAAUGUGAAUGAUCCGAUUAAUGCGUGAUGUCACUACUGUGUUUCUUUUUGGUUAUGAUUCGCUUAAUCAAGUUUUCUCUCACAGUCAAUCUUCCCUGCAACCCAUGUACUCUGACAUAGUUAUCAUUGUGUCUAACACAGUGAAUUUUCUUCAAAAAAAUUUUUUUUUCAACGUUUAUUUAUUUUUGGGACAGAGAGAGACAUAGCAUGAACGGGGGAGGGGCAGAGAGAGAGGGAGACACAGAAUCAGAAGCAGGCUCCAGGCUCUGAGCCAUCAGCCCAGAGCCCGACGCGGGGCUCGAACUCUCGGACCGCAAGAUCGUGACCUGGCUGAAGUCGGACGCUUAACCGACUGCGCCACCCAGGCGCCCCAACACAGUGAAUUUUCUAUUGGUAAGUUGUUGUUUCUUGUAAGGGCCUACUCCUCUGGUGAUGGGCACUGCCACCCCUCCUUACCUGCACUGUGAUACCGAGUCCUCCUCAGCCUUGCUCUCAGCCCCACCACAGAGGUGACUGAUGAAUAGUUAUGUACUCGGCAGAUGAGCCCUGUGACGUCUGUUCCCAGCAGUGGUGACCAUGGACCUCUCCACCUGCUACCCUUUGGGACUGUCCUUGUUCCUCCUCUGAGGGGGCUUGAAGGGGGGACCUGCUGCUGUGGGAAGUGGGCAGAAAAUCUCCCAUGUGUGCAUGGGUUCUGAGAAAAGAACUCAGGUCUUUGGCCUCAUAGUCAACUUCCUCUGUGAGUUUUCAUGUGAAAUAAAUUGAAAAAGUUUAAUAUAAAUUAAAAAGAUAAAAGUGUGAACUUGUCAUUUUGGGGGAAAUAAGUUGUUGGACUUUUCCAAGCCCUGAAAUUUUCUCUAGAAAUAUAUUUAGGUGAAUAGGAAGUGCUCUUUAUUUAAUAACAUGCGGUCUUCAUAUCAGAAGGGUCAAAAUUUGCCCUCAUUUAUUGAGUGUAUUUUAGAAAUCAUAUGAUUAAACCAACAUAUCUGUUGGUUUUUUCCUUCCUUCUGAGUCAUAUCUGUUUCUUUAACCUUUCUUGGGACAAGAAAAAUCAUAAGUGAGUUGUGCAACAAUGUUUGUAUUACCUCUCAAGGUUUGAAUAUUUCCUCUUUUUGAUUUGGUAAGCAUUGUUUAAUCACUAUAUUUUUAUUGCACGCUCUGCCUAUUGUAAUCUUUGCCCUUGAUUGAGGGAAAAUUUAAGAAAGGAAGAAAAGGCAGUUGGUAACAUUGGGAAUAGCUGACCUGAUUUGUUCAGGGGAGAGCAAGUAUUUGCAUUAAAAAUGAACAGGACAAUUGAAUGCAUUGCCUUCAGUAAGUACCUUCAUUAAACUGAAGAUCCAUUCUUCUUUCUUCCAUUUAGUCAGUCAUUUAUUACAAAGAUAGUUAAGAUGUGGUUCCCAUCUCUUUGAAGCUUGAGUGUGUGACAGGGACUGACAUAACUCCUAUGUUCGUUCCGCAAAUAGUAACUAAACUCUUACUAUUUACUAGGCAUUGUUCUUGACACCGGGGAUAUAGCAGUCAACAAGACAGAAAUCCUCAUGCUCCUGUUGUUACAUACUAGCAGGAAACCGACAGCAGACAGAUAAGUAAUACAUAUGUGUAUCGGAAGGAGAUGGUGCUAGAGAGAAAUUAAAGGAAGUGAUAGAGACUGUAGGAGAGUGGGGUGGAGAGGGAGAGUGCUUAACAUUGGUAAAUACUGUGGUCAGGGAGACCCUUAAUGAAAAAGUGACAUUUUAGUCCAUAUCUGAAGAAGAUGAAGGGAUGAUCCAUGAGGAUAAAUGGGGGAAGAGCAUUCUAGGCCAAGAGGAAAGAGUUGCAAGGCCUUGAAGUAGAAGCUCAUCUUCCAUGUUUGAGGAGCAGCAAGGAGGCUAGUGUCAAUGGAGCAGAGGAAAGGUGGGGACAAAGAAGAGGUAACAGUACAAGGGAGAAGGGGUAUGCUGUGAAUGCCCUUGUAACCAGUCACACGGAAAUUGUCUUUGCGUGAAAUAGGUAGGACGUGGAAGGUUUUGAGCAGAGGACUGACUUGAUCUGGUCAGUGUUUCAAUGCUGCACCAAGACCAGACUGGUUGGGAGGGAGGGGAAGCAGGAAAGCCAGUUAGGAGGUUUUGGCAAUAAUCCUGGCACCAGCAAUAGUGACUUAGGCCAGGGUUACCGAAGUAGAAAUGGUGAGAGUGGUCCGAUUCUAGAAAUGUUUUCGCAGUUCUGUUUGAGGACCUGCUGACAGACUGAGUUUGUUUAGGAGAGAAAUGGUGGAGUCAAGAAUGUCUCCGAGGGUUUUGUCCUGGUGAGGAGUCAGAAGGAUAGAGUUUCCAUUAACCAAGACGGGAAACCUGUGAAAGAGUGGGUUUUUAGGGGCAGAUCCGGAGUUUGAUGUUGCACAUAGAAAAUUGGAGAUGCCUGUUAGACAUCUAGGUAGAAACGCUGGGAGACAGAUGUGUCAGGAGCCUGAGUUCGGGAGAGAGGUCUGGGCUGGAGACAUUUCGUUGGUGUUCCUCCACUUACGCAGUGUGUACAUGAUGCUGCAUAUGAGCCCCAGAGGAGAAAACAUGGAUGGACACUAAGCCCCUGGAUGAACUCUGGGGAUCUCCAAAACGAGAGGCCAGAGAUGUAAAGAGGAACCAUAUAAGAAAGUUGGAAAGGAGCAGCUAGUAGUGUGGUAGAGGGCAACAUGGGUGCUCAGUAUUCUGGAAGCCUGAAGGAGAAAGUGAUCUGGGAAAGAGGGAGUUGAUGAUUAAGCCUAAAAACGGCGGAAAAUCACGGAAGACGGCGAUGAAGAAGUGGCUACCAGGCUGAACAAUGUGGAGGUGACCUGGAUGAGAAGAUCUGUGUUUGUGGAGUGUGGAGGUGAGAACAUGACUGGAGUGGUUCAAAGAGGGUAUUAGGACAAAUUGGCAUUCAGCGCAUAUAAUCAUUUGAGUUUUGCUCUAGCCCAAGAGAAGGGGAAAAAACUACAGCAACUGAAGGUUGAGAAGGUUGUCUUAGACAUUAGAAAAGUGAUAGUAUGUCUGUAGGUUGAUGGGAAAAAUCUAGUCGAGAGAAAAGGUGUGGGAAUGAGAUGGGACACCUGCCAGAGUGGCAUUCUUAGGAAGAGAGGGGGUAAUUCUGUAGGGCACAGGAGGCAAAGCCUGUCUUUGAUGGAACACCCACAGUAACAGGAGUGAAGGCCAGUGAAGGGGCUCAGAUGCACGUGGACAGUUCCAUGAAGCAGUGGGAGCUUGUGGAGUUCGGUUUCUCUCUUCUUUCAUUAACAUUGCACCUGAGGUAUAAUACACACACAGGAAAGUAUGUGUUACUAGGAUCCAGGUCAGGAAACAGAACAUUACCAGCAAUCCAGAAUGCCCCUCUAUCCCUUUCCAGUUACCACCGAAGCUACUGUAAAGAAAACUAUGGUCCUAACACCAUAGGUGAUUUUGCCUGAUUUUUACCUUUCUUGUAAGUACUAUAUUCUCUUUUGCUUAUGACUCCUUCAACUCGCUAUUAUGAGUUUUAUCUGUGUUGCUGUGUAAUACUCUAUUAUAUAACUACACCAUAGUUUAUCCAUUCUCUUGUUGAUGAAUAUUUGGGUUGUUUCCAGCAUUUCUCUGAGUUAUGCUCCUGUGAACCUUCUGGAACCUGUUUUAUAGAAAGCACAUGUACGUUGGGUACACAUCUAGGGGAGAAACUUGAGCAGCCAUGAGCAAGGUGUGAGAGUUUCAUCUGCUUCCUUGUGACUUUGGGCAUACCUUGUUUUAUUGAGUUUCACUGAAUUGUGCUUCUCUUUUUCACACCUGGAAGGUCUGUGGCAAUCCUAUGUUGAGGGAGUCUUUGGGUGCCAUUUUUCCAAUAGGAUUUGUUCACUGUGUCCUUGUCAUGUUUUGGUAAUUCUUGAGGUGCUUCAAACUUUUUCAUUAUUAAUGUAUUUGUUAUGGUGAUGAGUGGUUUCUCGAGAUGGAAUCGACUGGUGAAGAUGCUGUGAAGAUUGUUGAAAUAACAACAAAGUGUUGAGUACAUAAAUUUAGUUGAUAAAGCAGCAGCCAGAGGAUUGACUCCUUUUGGAAGAAGUUUUCUGGGUAAAAUGCUAUCCAACAGCAUCACAGGCUACAGAGAAAUUGUGAAAGGAAGAGUGAAUGAUGUGGCCAACUUCAUUGUUGUCUUAUUUUAAGAAACUGCCACAGACAUCCUAGCAACCACCACCCUGGUCACGCAGCAGCCAUCAACAUCGAGGCAAGACCCUCCGCCAGCCAAAACAUGACAACUUGCUGAAAGCCCAGAUGAUGCUGUUUCACUGCAGUGGUCUGGGGCCCGAGCCACAAAAUGUCUGAGGAAUGCCUGUAUUUCUACUGUCAUUUUAACCGUUCUGACAAGCUUACUAUCACUGGAGCCCAUGGCCAGCUGGGAAAGGACAAAGUGGCUUGAGUUCUUGCUGUGACCCUUUAGUAAUUCCAGUAAAGUCUGAGUACCACUGUGGGAGCAUUAGAACACCUACACUGCAAUAAAAGAAUCAACUGUGUGAUGUGUAUGCAAGUAACCAGAACUGACAGGACAUGUGACCUAGGACUACUGAUCUCCUGCCUGGGCAAAGCAGAGAACACAUGCAACACAACCUAAACUUUUCUGGAGUACUUAACAGUUUUCUGACGAUCAGUUAAUACACUCCUCAGAAGCUACUGCAGUAGGAACAGCUGUUUGAAACACAAAUGGUUCAGAUCAUAAAGUAAAAGAGCAGGAAUAUGUGCUUAAAUAAAAAGGAAAUUCUCAAAGAAUGCAGUAAAAGUGCAAGGAAAGACACAAGCUGAAUGCCAUCAAAACAGACACAUACACAUGGAAUCUUCACAAAUGAAAUUUAGUAUUUGGUAAGAGAUUUAUAAACCCCAAACCUUCAAUUCAGAAGAACAUCCUCUGCAGUGUUACUUGUAAUAGUGAAAACUGGAUUCUACCUAAACGUUCUAUCAAGUGAGAAUGAUUAGGGAAACUAUGAUGGUUGUGAAUGACUUCAUGAAAUUUUAAAAAGAUGAAUAAUUAUCACUUGUUGGACUACGCUAGGCUCUGAGGAUACAAAUAUGAUCCCUGCCAUCAAUGAGCAUACGGUAGCAGGGGAGGUCGUUAAAACAAGAAAGCAUACAGUAUAGCAGUACUAUGAAACAGAAGUAAGCUAGGGGCACCCAAGGGUAUGGAAGACAUGGGGCACAGAAGGCUUCCCCUCACAAAGUGAAGUUGAAGUUGAGUCCUGAAAAGCGAGUACAAGUCAAGGAGAGGUGGGACAAUAGAAAGUAAAACACAUAUUUGGAAUGGGAUAGUUAAAUGUGUCGAGCUCCCAAGGUGGAGGACAUCCUGGAGAACCUUGGAAAGAUUUGCUGCAUCCUAAACCUAUUAUUAGGUCAGUGAAGGAUUUUGAGCCGAAGAAUAACAUGAUCAGAUUUGCAUUUCUGGUGAUAACAUUAAUUGAUUGGGGGUGGGGGGGGAGGCGGUUCUGAUGGAGGCCGAAGACUUUGAUGCCUACAAGAGAGGUAAGAGUGGCUUUACUGUAGCAGCAAGGAAAUGGAAGUGGAGAGAUACCUGGUAACAAUGCGCUAUGGUAGGGAGACAAAAUCUGUUCAUCCCCAAGUUUCUGUCUCCAAUAACAGUGCAAUCAUAAGAAAAGCCAGUUUGAUUUGGAACUUGUUGACUUUGAGACCUAAGUCACAAUGUGCAGAAAGCUGCUAGAGUGUGGAAGAAAGCCUGGGAGCAUGAGUCUAUCAACUUUAGAGACACAGGGUUGGAUGAGAUCAUUCAAGGAGAAUAGGUGGAGCCCUAGACAACCCUAAGGAAUACCAACAAUGAAACAAAAAAGGGUCU